UGUAUAUUUCUAAAGCUUGAGGUUAUAUUAGAAGGAAAAAAAAGGGGGCUGAUGAAUUCAGAUGUUUUUUUCCUGAUGCAGUGUCAUUCUUCCCUUUCAAAGUCUAUUUGAAGCAGAGUGGAGCAGUAGAACUGCUGCUACCUUCAGACUGUUUAAAGAAACUAGCUGACUAGAAAAAGCUGAAAAAUUUGGUGAAGUUCUUGCCACCGCCAAUGACCGGGAAGGCAGGAAGACUAAGUUUGCCUCAACUGACAGUUUUAUUUUAGAAACAAUUGAUUGUAUUAAAGAAUGCAAUAAAUUAUAAAAAUUAGUAUAUUA